rnacentral:rRNA from 1 species
GACGAACGCUGGCGGCGUGCUUAACACAUGCAAGUCGAACGGAAAGGCCCUGCUUUUGUGGGGUGUUAGAGUGGCGAACGGGUGAGUAACACGUGAGUAACCUGCCCUGGACUUGGGGAUAACUUCAGGAAACUGGGGCUAAUACCGGAUAGGAGCUCCUGCUGCAGGGUGGGGUUUGGAACGUUUCGGCGGUGAGGGAUGGACUCGCGGCUUAUCAGCUUGUUGGGGGGGUAGUGGCCUACCAAGGCUUUGACGGGUAGCCGGCCUGAGAGGGUGACCGGCCACAAUGGGACUGCGAUACGGCGCAGACUCCAACGGGAGGCAGCAGUAGGGAAUAUUGCACAAUGGGCGGAAGCCUGAUGCAGCGACGCCGGGAGCGGGAUGACGGCCUUCGGGUUGUAAACCGCUUUCGCCUGUGACGAAGCGGGAGUGACGGUAAUGGGUAAAGAAGCACCGGCUAACUACGUG